rnacentral:rRNA from 1 species
UAUAACCGAAGCUGCGGAUGCCAGUUUACUGGCAUGGUAGGGGAGCGUUCUGUAGGCCGAUGAAGGUGCAUUGUAAAGUGUGCUGGAGGUAUCAGAAGUGCGAAUGUUGACAUGAGUAGCGAUAAAGCGGGUGAAAAGCCCGCUCGCCGAAAGCCCAAGGUUUCCUGCGCAACGUUCAUCGGCGUAGGGUGAGUCGCCCCUAAGGCGAGGCAGAAAUGCGUAGUCGAUGGGAAACAGGUUAAUAUUCCUGUACUUGAUUCAAAUGCGAUGUGGGGACGGAGAAGGUUAGGUUGGCAAGCUGUUGGAAUAGCUUGUUUAAGCCGGUAGGUGGAAGACUUAGGCAAAUCCGGGUUCUUAACACCGAGAAGUGACGACGAGUGUCUACGGACACGAAGUAACCGAUACCACGCUUCCAGGAAAAGCCACUAAGCUUCAGUUUGAAUCGAACCGUACCGCAAACCGACACAGGUGGGCAGGAUGAGAAUUCUAAGGCGCUUGAGAGAACUCAGGAGAAGGAACUCGGCAAAUUGAUACCGUAACUUCGGGAGAAGGUAUGCCCUCUAAGGUUAAGGACUUGCUCCGUAAGCCCUGGAGGGUCGCAGAGAAUAGGUGGCUGCGACUGUUUAUUAAAAACACAGCACUCUGCUAACACGAAAGUGGACGUAUAGGGUGUGACGCCUGCCCGGUGCUGGAAGGUUAAUUGAAGAUGUGAGAGCAUCGGAUCGAAGCCCCAGUAAACGGCGGCCGUAACUAUAACGGUCCUAAGGUAGCGAAAUUCCUUGUCGGGUAAGUUCCGACCCGCACGAAUGGCGUAACGAUGGCCACACUGUCUCCUCCUGAGACUCAGCGAAGUUGAAGUGGUUGUGAAGAUGCAAUCUACCCGCUGCUAGACGGAAAGACCCCGUGAACCUUUACUGUAGCUUUGCAUUGGACUUUGAAGUCACUUGUGUAGGAUAGGUGGGAGGCUUUGAAGCAGAGACGCCAGUCUCUGUGGAGCCGUCCUUGAAAUACCACCCUGGUGUCUUUAAGGUUCUAACCCAGACCCGUCAUCCGGGUCGGGGACCGUGCAUGGUAGGCAGUUUGACUGGGGCGGUCUCCUCCCAAAGCGUAACGGAGGAGUUCGAAGGUUACCUAGGUCCGGUCGGAAAUCGGACUGAUAGUGCAAUGGCAAAAGGUAGCUUAACUGCGAGACCGACAAGUCGAGCAGGUGCGAAAGCAGGACAUAGUGAUCCGGUGGUUCUGUAUGGAAGGGCCAUCGCUCAACGGAUAAAAGGUACUCCGGGGAUAACAGGCUGAUUCCGCCCAAGAGUUCAUAUCGACGGCGGAGUUUGGCACCUCGAUGUCGGCUCAUCACAUCCUGGGGCUGUAGUCGGUCCCAAGGGUAUGGCUGUUCGCCAUUUAAAGUGGUACGUGAGCUGGGUUUAAAACGUCGUGAGACAGUUUGGUCCCUAUCUGCAGUGGGCGUUGGAAGUUUGACGGGGGCUGCUCCUAGUACGAGAGGACCGGAGUGGACGAACCUCUGGUGUACCGGUUGUCACGCCAGUGGCAUAGCCGGGUAGCUAAGUUCGGAAGAGAUAAGCGCUGAAAGCAUCUAAGCGCGAAACUCGCCUGAAGAUGAGACUUCCCUUGCGGUUUAACCGCACUAAAGAGUCGUUCGAGACCAGGACGUUGAUAGGUGGGGUGUGGAAGCGCGGUAACGCGUGAAGCUAACCCAUACUAAUUGCUCGUGAGGCUUGACUCU